GUCAGCACACUAACAAGUCAGUUAAAGUUACUUGAACAAUCAGGCGUUGUAAAAUGGCGUCAAAUACCGGAAUACUAAGCGUUUGAGUACUGAGGAGCCAAUGGACCGUACCACGCGCAGUUUCACAGGUUUCUACAGCAAGGUUUCAGUGUUCAGGGGCAAGUAGCUGCCAAAAAAUUAAAGUUGCUGUCAAUCUGCUAGCUGAUCAAAUGAGACGUUGUGUGACUACAUUGCUUGGUCUGCAUGUUCCUUGAAUUGGAAAGAAAAAAUGAUGGUGAGGUUUUGGUGAAAGCAACAUACUUGAAAGUAGAAAAUGAUGCUGAGGUUUUGCGGAGAGCGACUUCCUUAAAAAGCGCCUUUAUUCACGAUAGAUGGCGUUGAUGUCACUCAAUAGUUGGCGCUGGACUCCACCGAAGUCCACUAGAUGGCGUUUAACGUCUCCGUUGAAGUCCAAUAGAUGGCGCGGAGUGUCUCAGUUGAAGUCCAAUAGAUGGCGCGCAGUGUCGCCGCUGAAGACCAAUAGAUGGCGCGGAGUGUCGCCGUUGAAGACCAAUAGAUGGCGCGGAGUGUCGCCGUUGAAGACCAAUAGAUGGCGCGGAGUGUCGCCGCUGAAGACCAAUAGAUGGCGCGGAGUGUCGCCGCUGAAGACCAAUAGAUGGCGCGCAGUGUCGCCGUUGAAGACCAAUAGAUGGCGCGCAGUGUCUCCGUUGAAGUCCAAUAGAUGGCUCUAAGCGUCUACUGCACUUUGACAUCUGAAAUUGCCUGCUAGCGUAGAGUAUGGAUGUGUGUUAGUAACAUUCUUCACUAUUUUUCAUUAAUUUAGGUAUUUAAUACCUUCGGGGUUAAUUUUUAUACUCGCAUUUAUGAUUCACAAGCGAGAGAUUUUAUGUUUGUUAGAUACGAAAAUUUAAAACAAAUGCAAAAUGUUUUUCCAGGGACUACCAAUGGUUUUCUUCUGAAAUGGUGUGUGGAAGCCAAUCAGGAAUUGUAAGCCUUUGAUUAAUGUUAUGGGUUAGAUUAAGUAAUAUAAUGAAUUGGAAAAUGUAUGGAUAAUUUCACUUCCACACAUGUUGGUAUUUUUAUUUAUUGAAUGAAUUCCAUGGUUGAUCUUUUCUUGUAAACUCAUUUCUUCUUGACACUUCUAGUAAAAGAAACACAUGUGCAAAUAAUUAUUGUAGGAAAAAUCACCACCUGUGCACAAGUAUACAACCUUUUGUCUAUCCUGUUGAGUUUCAGGUGCAAUUAGUUGUUCAAUGCUGUGGUGAUGACACUUAAAACUGGCUGCCUAACAUUCAAAAAAUUGUUAAAUUCCUUAAGGUUUACCAUUGUUUUCCUGCUAGGUGUGAAAUGUAAAGCUUUAUUCAGGCCCUUGUGAUCUUAAAUUUGAUCUACCGGUCCUAGUAAAAUUCACUUUGGGUUCUGAGAAGGCCAAUAAUUUUUAAUCUGUGGAUGUGUCUAAAGAAAUUACAUUGGCGCUGCUGGUUGUCUAACUGGAAUUUUAGUUCUUGAAUGAGAUUCAGGUUUGAUGAUGCAGGUGUUACAUUAAUGAAUUACGCUCUAAUUCACUAACAUUUCAAGGACCAAUUUCUUCCUCUUAAAAUUUACUUGAAAGGAUUUUGUUCAUUCUGGGAACGUAUCUAUCAACGAAGGAAGCUCCAAUGGGACGUGUCGUAUGUUGUACGUGUAUAUAUCACAUAUGUUGUCAUUUCCAGUUGUUUCACCCGAAGCUUCUCUCAGAAGAAUAUGCUAAGCAAUCAAUUCACGAGUCAUUUAAGGUAUGAAAUGUAUAUAUGAAUCAAGAGUUUUUAUGCUUAAUGGAGUUUUACUGUCUUAUAAUAGAUUAAUAAUAAAUUUUGAUCUGAAAA